CCCUUAGAUGUUCUGGGCGGCCCGCGCACUACAAUGGCGCUUUCAGCGAGUUCCUAUGUUGAAUUUUCCUGGGUAUUCUUGGAAGCGGCGUCUUGACUUGGGAUAGAUCCUUGUAAUUGUUGGUUUUGAACGAGGAAUUCCUUGUAAUCGCGGUUGAUCAGCUCGCGUUGAAUACGUCCCUGCCCUUUGUACACACCGCCCGUCGCCCCUACCGAUGAAUCGUCCGGUGAAGUUCACAGAGUGGCGGUUCGUGGAGUUGCUCGCGAAGUGAAAUGGACCUCACGAUUUAGAGGAAGGAGAAGUCGUAACA
rnacentral:rRNA from 1 species